ACCAGAACAAAGAGCUAGAAAAAUAAUUUAUUUGGAGAAUAGAAAUGUCUACACUCAGUGUUCUGACUUAUGGAUAUCUGAAUGAUUAGUAGCCUAACAUU
rnacentral:snoRNA from 1 species